AGUGAACGCUGGCGGUAGGCCUAACACAUGCAAGUCGAACGGCAGCACAGUAAGAGCUUGCUCUUACGGGUUGCGAGUGGCGGACGGGUGAGGAAUACAUCGGAAUCUACUUUUUCGUGGGGGAUAACGUAGGGAAACUUACGCUAAUACCGCAUACGACCUACGGGUGAAAGCAGGGGAUCUUCGCACCUUGCGCGAUUGAAUUAGCCGAUGUCGGAUUAGCUAGUUGGCGGGGUAGAGGCCCACCAAGGCGACGAUCCGUAGCUGGUCGUGGUGAAUGAUACGCACCAAUGGAGGUUAGACAGCGACCACGUUCCUACGGGUAGCGAAAGAGAGCGAUAUUAGACAGAUGGGGCAAACGUUGUGCAGAGAUACCGUGUCGGAGGAGAAGGCGGCGCGAUUGUAAAGCCCUUUUGUGGGGAAAGAAAAGCGGGAGUCUAUUACCACGCUUGUCUGACGGUACCCGCAGAAUAAGCACCGGCUAACUACGUG
rnacentral:rRNA from 1 species